rnacentral:rRNA from 1 species
GCAUAUCAAUAAGCGGAGGAAAAGAAAUUAACUAAGAUUGCCUCAGUAGCGGCGAGCGAACAGGCAUCAGCUCAAGCCUUGAAUCUGGAGUAUAGUGCUUCAGAAUUGUAGUCUAAAGCGGCAGACAGAAGAUAAGGAGUUUGUGUAAUUUCCUUGGAAAGGGAAGCCAAAGAGGGUGAAAGCCCCGUUCCACAAUGCUCCUGUUGUAUGUCUGUUAGCAUAGAGUCGAGUUGUUUGGGAAU